CAGUCGCCGCGGUAAUACGAAGGGUGCAAGCGUUAAUCGGAAUUACUGGGCGUAAAGCGUGCGUAGGCGGUUUGUUAAGUCUGUCGUGAAAUCCCCGGGCUCAACCUGGGAAUGGCAAUGGAUACUGGCAAGCUAGAGUGUGUCAGAGGAUGGUGGAAUUCCCGGUGUAGCGGUGAAAUGCGUAGAGAUCGGGAGGAACAUCAGUGGCGAAGGCGGCCAUCUGGGACAACACUGACGCUGAGGCACGAAAGCGUGGGGAGCAAACAGGAUUAGAUACCCGCGUAGUCCCUGUCUCUUAUAC
rnacentral:rRNA from 1 species